rnacentral:misc_RNA from 1 species
UUACCGAGCGAGAAUUCUCUGAAUUCAACCUCCCACCCGUGUUUAUUGUACCUUGUUGCUUCGGCGGGCCCGCCUCACGGCCGCCGGGGGGCAUCUGCCCCCGGGCCCGCGCCCGCCGAAGACACCUUGAACUCUGUAUGAAAAUUGCAGUCUGAGUCUAAAUAUAAAUUAUUUAAAACUUUCAACAACGGAUCUCUUGGUUCCGGCAUCGAUGAAGAACGCAGCGAAAUGCGAUACGUAAUGUGAAUUGCAGAAUUCAGUGAAUCAUCGAGUCUUUGAACGCACAUUGCGCCCCCUGGUAUUCCGGGGGGCAUGCCUGUCCGAGCGUCAUUGCUGCCCUCAAGCCCGGCUUGUGUGUUGGGUCUCGUCCCCCUUCCCGGGGGGACGGGCCCGAAAGGCAGCGGCGGCACCGCGUCCGGUCCUCGAGCGUAUGGGGCUUUGUCACCCGCUCUGUAGGCCCGGCCGGCGCUUGCCGAUCAACCAAAAACUUUUUUCCAGGUUGACCUCGGAUCAGGUAGGGAUACCCGCUGAACUUAAGCAUAUCAAUAA